rnacentral:rRNA from 1 species
GACGAACGCUGGCGGCGUGCCUAAUACAUGCAAGUAGAACGCUGAAGGAGGAGCUUACUUCUCUGGAUGAGUUGCGAACGGGUGAGUAACGCGUAGGUAACCUGCCUGGUAGCGGGGGAUAACUAUUGGAAACGAUAGCUAAUACCGCAUAAGAGUAGAUGUUGCAUGACAUUUACUUAAACGGUGCAAUUGCACCACUACCAGAUGGACCUGCGUUGUAUUAGCUAGUUGGUGGGGUAACGGCUCACCAAGGCGACGAUACAUAGCCGACCUGGGAGGGGGAGCGGCAACACUGGGACUGGGACACGGACCAGACUCCUACGGGAGGCAGCAGUAGGGAAUCUUCGGCAAUGGACGGAAGUCUGAACGAGCAGCGCCGCGUGAGUGAAGAAGGUUUUCGGAUCGUAAAGCUCUGUUGUAAGAGAAGAACGAGUGUGAGAGUGGAAAGUUCACACUGUGACGGUAUCUUACCAGAAAGGGACGGCUAACUACGUGCCAGCCGCCGCGGUAA